CCUACGGGAGGCAGCAGUGAGGAAUAUUGGUCAAUGGACGAGAGUCUGAACCAGCCAAGUAGCGUGAAGGAUGACUGCCCUAUGGGUUGUAAACUUCUUUUAUAUGGGAAUAAAAUGUUCCACGUGUGUGAUUUUGUAUGUACCAUAUGAAUACGGAUCGGCUAACUCCGUGCCAGCACCCGCGGUAAUACGGAGGAUCCGAGCGUUAUCCGGAUUUAUUGGGUUUAAAGGGAGCGUAGGUGGAUUGUUAAGUCAGUUGUGAAAGUUUGCGGCUCAACCCGAGAAUUGCAGUUGAUACUGGCAGUCUUGAGUACAGUAGAGGUGGGCGGAAUUCGAGGUGUAGCGGUGAAAUGCUUAGAUAUAACGAAGAACUCCGAUUGCGAAGGCAGUUCACUGGACUGCAACUGACACUGAGGCUCGAAAGUGUGGGUAUCAAACAGGAUUAGAUACCCUUGUAGUC
rnacentral:rRNA from 1 species